rnacentral:rRNA from 1 species
UACGUAUGGAGCAAGCGUUAUCCGGAUUUACUGGGUGUAAAGGGAGCGCAGGCGGCUUUGCAAGUCUGAUGUGAGAGGCCGGGGCUCAACCCCGGGACUGCAUUGGAAACUGUAAAGCUAGAGUGCCGGAGAGGUAAGCGGAAUUCCUAGUGUAGCGGUGAAAUGCGUAGAUAUUAGGAGGAACACCAGUGGCGAAGGCGGCUUACUGGACGGCAACUGACGCUGAGGCUCGAAAGCGUGGGGAGCAAAUAGG